rnacentral:sRNA from 1 species
CAGAAGUCGAGCAUCGCCUUCCAGGCCGGUA